UUCAGGAAGGAUGAAAGCCUUUAUCUUCAUCUCCUGAGACAGUUUUGUCAGCAGCUUUGUUUCAUUCCAACUUCUAUUUAGCAUAAAUUCCUUGAUCUCUAUUUCUUCUUCAAUAACAUUUUUUCCCUCUAUAAAGUAUAAAGCUCCUUGUUUUGUCCAAUUAUCAAACCAAAAGCUUGAAUUUCCUUCACCUGCCACCAAAUAUCUGCUCAAUGGAUAAAUCUCCUUUCCUGCUUAUGUCUUCUAUAAUUUCUUCCAUAUUAUCAUCUUCCUCUUCUUGCAACUUUUUGUCUAUCUCUAGUUGAGAUAAUUGAUGAAUCUUUGGUGCCUUCUGUGAGGGGCUGAUAUGAGACCUCAGUUAAAGGAUGUUUGACUUCGAAUCCAAGGUGAGCUACUCUUCCAGACUGUCAUGGAUUCCUCUACAUCUUCUUGCCUAUCUUUUCAGACACAAACUUUAGAUUAUUAGUUUAUGUUUCCUAGCUUUCAGGGUUUCAUCCUCAUUAUUGACUAAAUAGAGUUUUGCUACUACGAUUUUCAGUUUCUAGAGGUCUUAUUUUCGUAAUAUUUUGGACUAACGACUGAGUUUAUACAAACUCAAUUCUUUAAUUGUUUUAAACUAUUUUCUUACUAUUUAUUUUCAUGAGUUGAGACAUUGUGUGUUGGAUAAACUUUGGAUGGAUAGAUUGUUCUCCCAUCAGGUGGUUAAUGUGGGUGCCACUCACGACUAUAAGGUAGUAGAAUAUUUUAAAUAAUUGAGUGACAUUUUUUACCUUUUCCCCUUGAUACUAUGUUAAAUUGGGAGGUUCUUUAGCUGGUGGACCAACCACCUGCAUUGUCUUUUUUUGACUUUGAGUAAUGGUAUUACGUAUAUUGACAUUGACAUGAAAAUGGAAUAUUAAUUUA